GGGAUGCAGUCUGGGACACGUAGUUGCAAACCUAGCGACUUUGUUGUUAGAUUCAAUGACUUUUCAGACCCCCUAACGACUUUUUUUUAGAAAUAAAGGGACUUUUAUCGACUUCUGGAGUUUAGAGACUCUGACAUGAAGCAGGCUUUCCUUACUGAGGAGUUAGCAACGCUGCUAAGGGUGCAGAGCCACACAUGCGCUCAGAGCUCUGCAUGGGAGACUGAAGCUGACAGAGCUGCAGCAGUUAGCAGGUUUCACCCUCAGAGACCACCAGGGGUUCAUGUUGAGGCAUUUUAAUUUUUUUUUUUUUUGUGCCAUAGACACUGUCAGCACAAUCUGCAGUUACACUAACAAAAAUGCUGCAAAAAACAAAGAAUUAUGGAAAAAUUACACAUGGACUGACAUACAGGAGGAUCUACACAAGUUUUUUACAUCAUGUUUUACAUCAUGCAUCAUUUACAUCAUGUUUUUUUGUAGUGGCAUAAAUAAAAAGUGACAUUUGUGAGACUAUACAGUGUUUUGUAAAUAAUUUUACAAAGAACGCCUGGGCCAUUGCCUGCAUUUUGAUGUAAAUAGAGGUAAAUCACUAUGUUCUUUGUUAAAAAUUUGCAUAUGUUUUGAAGUUUACAAUUUUUAUUUGAAGUUUAAGUUUUAAAAACAGUUCAUCACACAUAUUUGUGGUUUUCACAGUAAAAAUGUUACUUUUUUCCACUCGGAUUUUAUGUUUUGUGUGUGAAUUUGGGUCCAUUGUGUAAAUUCAGUAUGUCAACAUGAUAAAAUAACUGUAAAUUCGCACAGGUGAGGUUGUGCUGAAAAAAAUGAUACCAGGCAAGGCACGUGAUUGUCAAAUUUUGUGUCAAUAUGACAAAGCGUAUAGGCGUGAAUCUCAACAAUAUGUAUUUUCACCUUAGGGGACAAGAAAAAAUGGACUUUUUUCUCCUGCCAUGGGGGGGCGCUCUUUUGGGGAGUAAAACUUCCUUCACAAAUGUGUUGAUGGCUGGACAUUGCAUCAUCCUAGAAAACUUGGAGGCCAGUGAGGACAAAAAUAAAAAGUUAUAAGACUUUUAAAUAUGUGAAUUUUAGGGUUAUCUUUGGCGCCCCCUAGAACCUAAACCGUGGGGUGCAGCGUCAUGAUUUUGAUAACUUUUAAUGGCCAUGGGGUGUAGAUUGGCCUGAGCAAAUGUAGUGCCGGUGGAACGAAAGCCUUAGGAGGAGUUAGCCACAUUCCAAUGUGUGCGGAUCGGCAAAAAAUGCGGAAUAACCCUUUAACCGUACAUUUGACAGAUACGCGCGCAUUGACUUUUUCGUAGAUCUUAUUGAGAUACAUGUGUGUGUCAAUUUUUGUGUCAUUUUGACAAAGCGUAUAGGCGUGACACUCAACAAUGUGUAUUUUCACCUUAGGGGACAAGAAAAAAUGGACUUUUUUCUCCUGCCAUGGGGGGGCGCUCUUUUGGGGAGUAAAAAUUCCUUCACAAAUGUGUUGAUGGCUGGACAUUGCAUCAUCCUAGAAAACUUGGAGGCCAGUGAGGACAAAAAUAAAAAGUUAUAAGACUUUUAAAUAUGUGGAUUUUAGUGUUAUCUUUGGCGCCCCCUAGAACCUAAACCUUGGGGUGCAGCGUCAUGAUUUUGAUAACUUUUAAUGGCCACGGGGUGUAGAUUGGCCUGAGCAAAUGUGGUGCCGGUGGAACGAAAGCCUUCGGAGGAGUUAGCGAAAUUCCAAUGUGUGCAGAUCGGCAAAAAAUGCGAAAUAACCCUUUAACCGUAAUUUUGACAGAUACGGCCGCACUGACUUUUUUGUAGAUCUUAUUGAGAUACAUGUGUGUGUCAAUUUUUGUGUCAUUUUGACAAAGCGUACAGUCGUGACAGUGAAUAGUGUGAAUUUUCACCUUAGGGGGCGCUAUGGAGCCAUUUUGCAUUUUAUUGUUUUGGCGACUUCAGAAUAUCAAAUUUUUCACCAGGCCCGGUCGUCCUGCCAAAUUUCAUGAGUUUUCGCCAGUGGGAAGUGGGCCAUUUUCCAGUUCAAAGGGGAGGAAAAAGAAAAAAGAAAGAAAGAAACAAAGAAAAACCACUUGGGGAAUAAUAGGGCCUACGCCCGGCUGCUCUGCAGCUGGCUCGGGCCCUAAAAAGAAGGAAACAUGCAGGAACAAGAGGGCUCUCGCAGCUGCUUAGCAGCUACGCUCGGGCCCUAAAGAAACAAAGAAAAACCACUUGGGGAAUAAUAGGGCUCUCGCAGCUGCUUAGCAGCUACGCUCGGGCCCUAACUAGGGCCCCGUUGGGGCACUGGCGGGCCAGAGCCGCGUCGCGCCGCCCCCAGCGCGACCGCCUCCCCGUCCCAUUCGUGCCCUCUGGCCAUCGCCCUCUCUGGUGACGCCCAUCACUGCAAAGACCCUUUUCCUUCAUCGGUGUUUGCUGUUCUUCCUGCCAUUGCGUGUUGCUUUCACUUACACUUGCCACAGCCAGCCUCGUGAGUGCCUGGCCUGGUUUGACCUUUGCUCACCAUGAUUGUGUGACCUUGGUAUCAGCUACUUGGGAAGUUCAACCGUUGUGGCAAAGCUUUGUUUGCGGCCGGAUGUAGCUGCAAGACGGAGCCUCGUUGACUCUCCGUUUCAAUUUAUCUCAAAAGUGAGGACCUCAACCUAUAUACCAGUUUUUAAAUUGUGUUGAUAGGCCAAAUAAAACCAGAGUUAUGAUAAAUUAUGUCUGCGAUACUUUUUUUCUGCUUAUUUUGAUCACGUUCGGCGCUCGAUCGCGCUGUAUGAGACAGGAAAACAUAGCAUGCAGACAUUAGCGACAGCUCUUACAGGCGGAAAAGGCUUGCCAAAAGAAAAAAAAAAAACACACCACAACAUCUCCUAUUGGUGGAAAACUUCACCACAACAACCAAUCCAAAAUUAUAUGGUGACUGAUUGACAAGGGGCGGGCGCUUACGUUCUUCCUGCAACAUGAGAAGGGAUGGAGGGACUCUCAGCAGGGAUGCAGUCUGGGACACGUAGUUGCAAACCUAGCGACUUUGUUGUUAGAUUAAAUGACUUUUCAGACCCCCUAACGACUUUUUUUUUGAAAGAAAGGGACUUUUAUCGACUUCUUCUGGAGUUUAGAGACUCUGACAUGAAGCAGGCUUUCCUUACUGAGGAGUUAGCAACGCUGCUAAGGGUGCAGAGCCACACAUGCGCUCUGAGCUCUGCAGGGGAGACUGAAGCUGACAGAGCUGCAGCAGUUAGCAGGUUUCACCCUCAGAGACCACCAGGGGUUCAUGUUGAGGCAUUUUCAGUUUGUUUUAUUGUUUUUGUGCCAUAGACACUGUCAGCACAAUCUGCAGUUACACUAACAAAAAUGCUGGACAAAACAAAGAAUUAUGGAAAAAUUACACAUGGACUAACAUAGAGGAGGAUCUACACAAGUUUUUUACAUCAUGUUUUACAUCAUGCAUCAUUUACAUCAUGUUUUUUUUGUAGUGGCAUGAAUAAAAAGUGACAUUUGUGAGACUAUACAGUGUUUUGUAAAUAAUUUUACAAAGAACGCCUGGGCCAUUGCCUGCAUUUUGAUGUAAAUAGAGGUAAAUUACUAUGUUCUUUGUUAAAAAUUUGCAUAUGUUUUGAAGUUUAAAAUUUUUAUUUGAUGUUUAAGUUUUAAAAACAGUUCAUCACACAUAUUUGUGGUUUUCAGAGUAAAAAUGUUACUUUUUUCCACUCGGAUAUUAUGUUUUGUGUGUGAAUUUGGGUCCAUUGUGUAAAAACAGUAUGUGAAAAUGAUAAAAUAACUGUAAAUUCGCACAGGUGAGGUUGUGCUGAAAAAAAUGAUACCAGGCAAGGCAAGGUAAAAAAAUUUUAAGAGGAAAUAUAAAGGGUAAAAUCUAAAGUAGUCAAAAACGGCCAAUAGUGACUCCCAGUCUCCAUAGACAAGUCCCUUUGGCGCCACUCAGUGGGCAAAACUACUUUGUCUGCUGUAAUGUAUAUUUGGGUCAUCUUUGGCGCCCCCUAGAACGUAAACCGUGGGGUGCAGCGUCAUGAUUUUUACAACUUUGAAUGGCCAUGGGGUGUAGAUUGGCCUGAGCAAAUUUGGUGUCAGUGGGACGAAAGCCUUAGGAGGAGUUAGCCACAUUCCAAUGUGUGCGAAUCGGCAAAAAAUGCAAAAUAGCCCUUUUACCGUACAUUAUACACAUACGCGCUCUUUGACUUUUUCAUAGAUGUUAUUGAGAUACACGUGAUUGUCAAAUUUUGUGUCAAUCUGACAAAGCGUUCAGGCAUGACACUCAACAAUGUGUGUUUUCACCUUAGGGGACAAGAAAAAAUGGACUUUUUUCUCCUGCCAUGGGGGGGCGCUCUUUUGGGGAGUAAAAAUUCCUUCACAAAUGUGUUGAUGGCUGUACAUUGCAUCAUCCUAGAAAACUUGGAGGCCAGUGAGGACAAAAAUAAAAAGUUAUAAGACUUUUAAGAAUGUGGAUUUUUGGGUUAUCUUUGGCGCCCCCUAGAACCUAAACCGUGGGGUGCAGCGUCAUGAUUUGUACAACUUUUAAUGGCCAUGGGGUGUAGAUUGACCUGAGCAAAUUUGGUGCCGGUGGAACGAAAGCCUUCGGAGGAGUUAGCAAAAUUCCAGUGUGUGCGGAUCGGCAAAAAAUGCGAAAUAGCCCUUUAACCGUACAUUUGAAAGAUACGCGCUCUUUGACUUUUUCGUAGAUCUUAUUGAGAUACACGUGAUUGUCAAAUUCUGUGUCAAUAUGACAAAGCGUUCAGGCGUGACACUCUACAAUGUGUAUUUUCAUGUUAGGGGACAAGAAAAAAUGGACUUUUUUCACCUGCCAUGGGGGGGCGCUCUUUUGGGGAGUAAAAAUUCCUUCACAAAUGUGUUGAUGGCUGUACAUUGCAUCAUCCUAGAAAACUUGGAGGUCAGUGAGGACAAAAAUAAAAAGUUAUAAGACUUUUAAGAAUGUGGAUUUUUGGGUUAUCUUUGGCGCCCCCUAGAACCUAAACCGUGGGGUGCAGCGUCAUGAUUUGUACAACUUUUAAUGGCCAUGGGGUGUAGAUUGACCUGAGCAAAUUUGGUGCCGGUGGAACGAAAGCCUUCGGAGUAGUUAGCGAAAUUCCAAUGUGUGCGGAUCAGCAAAAAAUGCGAAAUAGCCCUUUAACCGUACAUUAUGCAGAUACGCGCUCUUUGACUUUUUCGUAGAUCUUAUUGAGAUACACGUGAUUGUCCAAUUCUGUGUCAAUAUGACAAAGCGUUCAGGCAUGACACUCUACAAUGUGUAUUUUCAUGUUAGGGGACAAGAAAAAAUGGACUUUUUUCACCUGCCAUGGGGGGGCGCUCUUUUGGGGAGUAAAAAUUCCUUCACAAAUGUGUUGAUGGCUGGACAUUGCAUCAUCCUAGAAAACUUGGAGGCCAGUGAGGACAAAAAUAAAAAGUUAUAAGACUUUUAAGAAUGUGGAUUUUUGGGUUAUCUUUGGC